UCAAAAUAUCACAGAAAAGUCAAUAUGUCGGGUAAUUAUCGCGAAAUAUCAUCGCACGAGACAUAUCGUCAAAUUCUCUUUCUCGGCAAUUUCUCGCGUUUCGAUUUUGGUUUGAAAAACCGAAACUUUUCGCGUUUCAACAUGCGUUUCGGCGUGUAUUUUGGUUUCCGAGGAUUUUCAGAUUAACCGAGUCGUCUGCGGCGGCGUUUCGAUUUCGUUUCCGAGAACCUGAAACGUUUCGGCGCAUAUCAGGGAGUUUCGGCUAUUAUAUCCAUUUUCCCCUUUUCUUGAUAUUUGUUUCCCCGAUUUCCAACUUCUUGUGGCUGCGCUGCUCCCAUGACUCUCCCAAUUUCGUAAGUUCCUCCACUUUUACUGUUGGCUUUUUGUUAUCUUUGUGAAUUGAUUUGUUCUCCUGUGUAUCUAUCAGUUUGGGGGACUGUUUGCCGACAUACUUCUGUUUUCGCUGAAGGAAAAAAUUGAUGGCCAGAGAAAGGAAAGAGAAUUCUGGAAUUGACAAACGAAUGAAAAGAACAGAAUAGGGGGAAGCUAAUGAGACAAAUGAAAACAAAUGUGCAUAUUAUCUCACCAAGCAAGAUUACUUUCCCUAAUCUCUUUAUUGUCAGUACAUGCUUCUGACCAUGAAUAAUCAGAACGAUUGGUUUGGAGAUGGUGAACGGGGUAUCUAACAUAACCAGUCUUUAUGUUUAUAACAGAUAAUAAGCAGCACAUAAGCAUUAUUUAGACUGAAUUCUCAGUUUAACGCUUGUGAUUGAAGAUCACAUUGAUAGCUUUAGGUUCAGCUGUGACCAGGAUCUUUGGGUUAAAAUGGAUUAAAGACUGACCAGAAAGCCAAUCAGUUUCAGUACGAUUUAAGACAGUUAAACUGAUU
rnacentral:lncRNA from 1 species